rnacentral:rRNA from 1 species
UACGUAGGUGGCAAGCGUUGUCCGGAUUUACUGGGCGUAAAGAGCGCGCAGGCGGUCGUUCAAGUCGCGUGUGAAAGCCCCCGGCUCAACUGGGGAGGGUCACGCGAUACUGAUCGACUCGAAGGCAGGAGAGGGUAGUGGAAUUCCCGGUGUAGUGGUGAAAUGCGUAGAUAUCGGGAGGAACACCAGUGGCGAAGGCGGCCUUCUGGUCCAGUACUGACACUCAAGUGCGAAAGCGUGGGGAGCAAACAGG